AAAAAAGCCUGCGAAUGUUUUUUUCUCAAGUGUUUAUAGGUCCAGUCAUCUGACCAUGAACUCACUCUACCUGCAAACUUCACAUUGAGCUCAUCUCUAUUUUUUUACAUCACUGGAUUUGUCAAGAUUCAAAAUGCCACCAGUGCAGAAAGGUCAGCUAUUCACUGUGCAUGAUGUGAUUGCUGCAGUCCAAAAUGGAGAGAGCGAUUUUGAAAUGGACUCAGAUGACACUGAUGCAAGUGAUUCAGAGAAUGAAGAUGCAGGUGCAAUGGACAAAGAAAACCACCAACUCAUCGACUGCCCAGCCGAUGAGUUGGUGUGGUGUGGACAUCAAGCCCCAACCAAAGAAACACACCUUGCCCCAUGACAGAUAUCGCUGGCUGAAAAAGGAGUUUGUCAGUCCCAAUACUGGAUUUUCUGGUUCAGAAAUCUCUAUUAAUAAAUACUUAUUCAUAAAAAAUA